rnacentral:rRNA from 1 species
GUGGUUUAAUUCGAUGAUACGCGAGGAACCUUACCUGGGCUUAAAUGAGAAACGACAGUUUGGAAACAAGACCUUCUUCGGACGGUUCUCAAGGUGCUGCAUGGUUGUCGUCAGCUCGUGCUGUGAGGUGUCGGGUUAAGUCCCAUAACGAGCGCAACCCCUAUCUUUAGUUGCCAGCGAGUAAUGUCGGGGACUCUAGAGAAACUGCCGGUGCAAACCGUGAGGAAGGUGGGGAUGACGUCAAAUCAUCACGGCCCUUACGUCCAGGGCUACACACGUGCUACAAUGGCGGAUACAAAGGGCAGCUACUAGGUGACUAGAUGCUAAUCUCUAAAGUCCGUCUCAGUUCGGAUCGAAGUCUGCAACUCGACUUCGUGAAGCUGGAAUCGCUAGUAAUCGCGCAUCAGCCAUGGCGCGGUGAAUACGUUCCCGGGCCUU